rnacentral:rRNA from 1 species
UACGUAGGCAGCGAGCGUUGUUCGGAGUUACUGGGCGUAAAGGGUGUGUAGGCGGUUGUUUAAGUUUGGUGUGAAAUCUCCCGGCUCAACUGGGAGGGUGCGCCGAAUACUGAAUGACUUGGAGUGCGGGAGAGGAAAGUGGAAUUCCUGGUGUAGCGGUGAAAUGCGUAGAUAUCAGGAGGAACACCUGCGGUGUAGACGGCUUACUGGACCGUAACUGACGCUGAGGCACGAAAAGCGUGGGUAGCAAACAGG